GGGGUUGUGGCUCAGAGGUAGAGCGCUCGCCUAGCAUGCAAGAGGCACUGGGUUUUGAUCCUCAGCACCA
rnacentral:tRNA from 1 species